rnacentral:rRNA from 1 species
AUUGAACGCUGGCGGCAUGCUUUACACAUGCAAGUCGAACGGUAACAGGCCUUCGGGUGCUGACGAGUGGCGAACGGGUGAGUAAUGCAUCGGAACGUACCCAGAGGUGGGGGAUAACGCAGCGAAAGCUGUGCUAAUACCGCAUGUGAUCUGAGGAUGAAAGCGGGGGACCGAGCAGCAAUGUUUGGCCUCGCGCCUUUGGAGCGGCCGAUGUCGGAUUAGCUAGUUGGUGGGGUAAAGGCCUACCAAGGCGACGAUCCGUAGCUGGUCUGAGAGGACGACCAGCCACACUGGGACUGAGACACGGCCCAGACUCCUACGGGAGGCAGCAGUGGGGAAUAUUGCACAAUGGGCGGAAGCCUGAUGCAGCAACGCCGCGUGCGGGAUGACGGCCUUCGGGUUGUAAACCGCUUUCGCCUGUGACGAAACGGUGUCCGCUAAUACCGGGCGCUAAUGACGGUACCUGCAGAAUAAGCACCGGCUAACUACGUG